AACGAACGCUGGCGGCAGGCCUAACACAUGCAAGUCGAACGCCCCGCAAGGGGAGUGGCAGACGGGUGAGUAACACGUGGGAACCUUCCCUAUAGUACGGAAUAGCCCAGGGAAACUUGGAGUAAUACCGUAUACGCCCGAAAGGGGAAAGAUUUAUCGCUAUAGGAUGGGCCCGCGUAGGAUUAGCUAGUUGGUGAGGUAAUGGCUCACCAAGGCGACGAUCCUUAGCUGGUUUGAGAGAACGACCAGCCACACUGGGACUGAGACACGGCCCAGACUCCUACGGGAGGCAGCAGUGGGGAAUAUUGGACAAUGGGCGCAAGCCUGAUCCAGCCAUGCCGCGUGAGUGAUGAAGGCCUUAGGGUUGUAAAGCUCUUUUGGCGGGACGAUAAUGACGGUACCCGCAGAAUAAGU
rnacentral:rRNA from 1 species